rnacentral:rRNA from 1 species
UGGGGAAUAUUGGGCAAUGGGCGCAAGCCUGACCCAGCAACGCCGCGUGAAGGAAGAAGGCUUUCGGGUUGUAAACUUCUUUUCUGAGGGACGAUAGUGACGGUACCUCAGGAAUAAGCCACGGCUAACUACGUGCCAGCAGCCGCGGUAAUACGUAGGUGGCAAGCGUUAUCCGGAUUUACUGGGUGUAAAGGGCGUGUAGGCGGGAUGGUAAGUCAGAUGUGAAAACUAUGGGCUCAACCCAUAGCCUGCAUUUGAAACUAUCGUUCUUGAGUGUUGGAGAGGCAGGCGGAAUUCCGUGUGUAGCGGUGAAAUGCGUAGAUAUACGGAGGAACACCAGUGGCGAAGGCGGCCUGCUGGACAAUAACUGACGUUGAGGCUCGAAAGCGUGGGGAGCAAACAGG